rnacentral:rRNA from 1 species
UACGAAGGGGGCUAGCGUUGUUCGGAAUUACUGGGCGUAAAGCGCACGUAGGCGGACUAUUAAGUCAGGGGUGAAAUCCCGGGGCUCAACCCCGGAACUGCCUUUGAUACUGGUAGUCUCGAGUCCGGAAGAGGUGAGUGGAAUUCCGGAGUGUAGAGGUGAAAUUCGUAGAUAUUCGGAGGAACACCAGUGGCGAAGGCGGCUCACUGGUCCGGUACUGACGCUGAGGUGCGAAAGCGUGGGGAGCAACAGG